CAACUCGCCUGCACGAAGUCGGAAUUGCUAGUAAUCGUAGGUCAGCAUACUACGGUGAAUACGUUCCCGGGCCUUGUACACACCGCCCGUCAAACCAUGAGAGUUGGCAACACCCGAAGUCGGUAGUCUAACCGCAAGGAGGACGCCGCCGAAGGUGGGGUUGAUGAUUAGGGUUAAGUCGUAACAAGGUAGC
rnacentral:rRNA from 1 species